GAGUUAAAGAAAUUCAAGAGAAGUCCAGUUGAUUGGACACUUUGAUUCAAUGGAUUUAUAACCCUUGAUCCCAGCAAUAUGUUAAUCAUCUGUAGUUGUGGUAAUGAUGCUCCUAUAAAGGGAUCUUUAUUCUCUUGCUUUUGCUGAUAGAGUGUUAUUCAUCUCAUUGGCUCUUAGGAAACUAGUUCUGGGGUAGUACCGGUAAUUAGAAAAUGGCUGAUGCUGACCUGAAAAAUCAUGAGUCAUAAAUUUUUCAUGCAGUUCAAAUAUUGCAAUUAAAAAAGAAAAGGUUUACAAGGUAGGUUGUAUUUUAAAAGAUGGGGAUGUUGUAAAUGUUGAUGGAUUAAAAAGGAUAGGACUUAUAUGAAUUUUUUUUUUUUGAAAUUUCGUUUUCUUGAUGGGGCAAAAUUUGACAGAUAUUACUCCUUGUAAAGGAGUCAUAAUCAUUCCUGCUAGUUAUUUCUCUCAGGUGUUAUAAUGCAUAGAGAAUAUGUGUGUGAAGAUAUACAAACUUUGAAAAUUCAUGUUAUUAAGUUUAUAGGUACUAUUUUGUCACUGUUAAAAAUUGUGAUAGCUUGCAGGGUAAAACAAAAUUUCUCACAACGUAAAUAGAUAUUUUGAUUUAGACCUAUUUUAUAUAUAUAUACUGUCUAUUAGUUUAUUUUUUGAAAGUCUUACUUUUUAUAUAUUGUAUACAUUUUACAUGUAGUUUGUGAUCUCAUAUUUUUCUCUGAAAACAUUAUUACCACUUGACCAGUAGUUUGAACUCUUUUAGAUACAUGUAUUUACAUAAUUUUUUUUUUAUGUAUGUACAUGUAUAUGAUUUUAUUCACUUCUACAUUUUUAUUGCUGUUUUAUGAUUUUUUAUCACUGUGAUUUGAUAAAUAGAGUACUAAUUAAUAGAUUUUUGUAUUUGAUAAUAAACUGUUUAUGCUUUG
rnacentral:misc_RNA from 1 species